UUUAUGGAGAGUUUGAUCCUGGCUCAGGAUGAACGCUGGCGGCGUGCCUAAUACAUGCAAGUCGAGCGAACAGACGAGGAGCUUGCUCCUCUGACGUUAGCGGCGGACGGGUGAGUAACACGUGGAUAACCUACCUAUAAGACUGGGAUAACUUCGGGAAACCGGAGCUAAUACCGGAUAAUAUAUUGAACCGCAUGGUUCAAUAGUGAAAGACGGUUUUGCUGUCACUUAUAGAUGGAUCCGCGCCGCAUUAGCUAGUUGGUAAGGUAACGGCUUACCAAGGCAACGAUGCGUAGCCGACCUGAGAGGGUGAUCGGCCACACUGGAACUGAGACACGGUCCAGACUCCUACGGGAGGCAGCAGUAGGGAAUCUUCCGCAAUGGGCGAAAGCCUGACGGAGCAACGCCGCGUGAGUGAUGAAGGUCUUCGGAUCGUAAAACUCUGUUAUUAGGGAAGAACAAAUGUGUAAGUAACUAUGCACGUCUUGACGGUACCUAAUCAGAAAGCCACGGCUAACUACGUGCCAGCAGCCGCGGUAAUACGUAGGUGGCAAGCGUUAUCCGGAAUUAUUGGGCGUAAAGCGCGCGUAGGCGGUUUUUUAAGUCUGAUGUGAAAGCCCACGGCUCAACCGUGGAGGGUCAUUGGAAACUGGAAAACUUGAGUGCAGAAGAGGAAAGUGGAAUUCCAUGUGUAGCGGUGAAAUGCGCAGAGAUAUGGAGGAACACCAGUGGCGAAGGCGACUUUCUGGUCUGUAACUGACGCUGAUGUGCGAAAGCGUGGGGA
rnacentral:rRNA from 1 species